GAUGAACGCUAGCUACAGGCUUAACACAUGCAAGUCGAGGGACCGGCGCACGGGUGAGUAACACGUAUCCAACCUGCCCUUUACUCGGGGAUAGCCUUUCGAAAGAAAGAUUAAUACCCGAUAUAAAGGAUGGGGAUGCGUUCCAUUAGGUUGUUGGUGAGGUAACGGCUCACCAAGCCUUCGAUGGAUAGGGGUUCUGAGAGGAAGGUCCCCCACAUUGGAACAGGGACACGGUCCAAACUCAUACGGGGGGUGGCAGAGAGGAAUAUUAGUGAAUGGGGGCUAGCCUGAACCAGCCCAGUGGCUUGAAGGAUGAUGCAUUAGGGGUGGUAAAAUACUAUAAUAUAAGAAGAUGUAUUAGAUAAGUAAGGAUCGGAUAACUACGCGCCAGCAGCCGCGGUAAUAC
rnacentral:rRNA from 1 species